UACGGAGGGUGCAAGCGUUAUCCGGAUUCACUGGGUUUAAAGGGUGCGUAGGCAGACAGGUAAGUCAGUGGUGAAAUCUCUGGGCUUAACCCAGAAACUGCCGUUGAUACUAUUUGUCUUGAAUAUCCUGGAGGUAGGCGGAAUAUGUCAUGUAGCGGUGAAAUGCUUAGAUAUGACAUAGAACACCGAUAGCGAAGGCAGCUUACUACAGGAUGAUUGACGCUGAGGCACGAAAGCGUGGGGAGCAAACAGG
rnacentral:rRNA from 1 species